UACGUAGGGGGCAAGCGUUGUCCGGAAUCAUUGGGCGCAAAGAGCGUGUAGGCGGCCAGAUAAGUCCGCUGUGAAAACUCGAGGCUCAACUUCGAGCUGUCGGUGGAAACUAUUUGGCUAGAGUCCGGAAGAGGAGAGUGGAAUUCCUGGUGUAGCGGUGAAAUGCGCAGAUAUCAGGAAGAACACCCGUGGCGAAGGCGGCUCUCUGGUACGGAACUGACGCUGAGACGCGAAAGCGUGGGGAGCGAACAGG
rnacentral:rRNA from 1 species